UAGCAUAUCAAUAAGCGGAGGAAAAGAAACCAACAGGGAUUGCCCUAGUAACGGCGAGUGAAGCGGCAACAGCUCAAAUUUGAAAUCUGGCUCUCUUUGGGGGUCCGAGUUGUAAUUUGCAGAGGAUGCUUUGGCAUUGGCGGCGGUCUAAGUUCCUUGGAACAGGACAUCGCAGAGGGUGAGAAUCCCGUACGUGGGCGCCUGCCUUUGCCGUGUAAAGCUCCUUCGACGAGUCGAGUUGUUUGGGAAUGCAGCUCUAAAUGGGAGGUAAAUUUCUUCUAAAGCUAAAUACCGGCCAGAGACCGAUAGCGCACAAGUAGAGUGAUCGAAAGAUGAAAAGUACUUUGGAAAGAGAGUCAAAAAGCACGUGAAAUUGUUGAAAGGGAAGCGCUUGCAGCCAGACUUGCCCGCAGUUGCUCACCUAGGCUUUGGCCUGGGGCACUCUUCUGCGGGCAGGCCAGCAUCAGUUUGGGCGGUUGGAUAAAGGCCUCUGUCACGUAUCUCCCUUCGGGGUGACCUUAUAGGGGAGGCGUAAUGCAACCAGCCCGGACUGAGGUCCGCGCAUCUGCUAGGAUGCUGGCGUAAUGGCUGUAAGCGGCCCGUCUUGAAACACGGACCAAGGAGUCUAACAUCUAUGCGAGUGUUUGGGUGUCAAGCCCGGGCGCGCAAUGAAAGUGAACGGAGGUGGGAACCCUUUGGGUGCACCAUCGACCGAUCCUGAUGUCUUCGGAUGGAUUUGAGUAAGAGCAUAGCUGUUGGGACCCGAAAGAUGGUGAACUAUGCUUGAAUAGGGUGAAGCCAGAGGAAACUCUGGUGGAGGCUCGCAGCGGUUCUGACGUGCAAAUCGAUCGUCAAAUUGGGCAUAGGGGCGAAAGACUAAUCGAACCAUCUAGUAGCUGGUUCCUGCC
rnacentral:rRNA from 1 species